AUGAGGGUGAAGGUUUAGGAGGAUGACACAUGUAUGGUAGUGGACAUUGAGUACAAUCAUAAUCACCACCUCGCAACUGAUGACAUGCUGGUAUUCUUGCACUCACACAAGAAUUAUGACCCUACUAUUUUGGAGUACAUAAAGCUCCUGCAGUACCAUGAUGUCAAGCACACAACAAUCAUGUCCAUGAUAUCUAAAAAUGAAGAUGGAAGCUACUUCCUAAGCAUGAUCGGACGGGACCUACUAAACCAGAAAGCCAUGAAUGCAUGGAGAGAUGAUUUGGAUGAUGUAUUGAAACUUGUAUCUUUAUUUAAAGACAUGAAGGCAAACAAUGAUGAGUUUUUCUAUGACAUACACUCCAAUGCAAGCUGCCGAGGAGCGUAUCAAGACUUUGGCGAUUGCGUAACAUUCGACACAACUUACAAGACCAAUAGAUUUCAUAUGCCUCUGGGAGUGUUUGUUGGAACAAACCAUCACUUGCAGUCAACGAUAUUUUCUGUUGCCUUGAUCAGAGACGAAGAUGCAAAGUCAUUCAAGUGGCUGUUUGAUACAUUUGUACGGUGCAUGAACAACAAACACCCAACUUGCAUUGUAACAGACCAGUGCCUGUCAAUGGCAAAAGCUAUACCACAAUCAUUCCCAAAUACCGUCCACAAGCUAUGUCGUCGGCACAUCCUGAAGAAGUACAAGGAAUACCUCGCGUUUCUCUACAAAUAUAAAACAUUCAAAGAGGAGUUCACAACAAUCUUAAACUGGCCGCUAAUGCCAACGGAGUUUGAAGCUGCCUGGGAUGCACUCGUGCAAAAGUACAACCUGCACAACGACCAGAUGAUGAUGCAGCUGUGGAGUGAUAGGAAAAUGUGGAUAUCAGCAUAUUACAAGAACAUUUUCUGUGCUAGAAUGACUUCCACACAACGAAGCGAGAGCAUGAAUCACGUGCUCAAGAGAGGGUUUGUCAAGGGGACCCAAAACCUACACAAGUUUGCUAGGAGGGUAAAUGCUUGCAUACAAACUCGGAUGCAGAAGGAGAACGAGCAAACAAUGACCAGCAUGGUAUUGAGACAAAAAAACACCACCAUUAUAUUGUGA
rnacentral:rRNA from 1 species